AUUCCAGCUCCAAUAGCGUAUAUUAAAGUUGUUGCGGUUAAAAAGCUCGUAGUUGGAGUUCUGCCAGGUGGCGCUCGUCCGCCCAAGUGGUGUGUACAGGGCGUGCAUCUGGCCCUUUCAAGGGGAACGUGUCUGCACUUCAUUGUGUGGUGCGAGAUCCUUGACUUUUACUUUGAGGAAAUAAGAGUGUUCCAAGCAGGCUCUCGUCGUGCAUAGCUCAGCAUGGAAUAAUAGCAUUGGACUUCGUUUCUACGCUGUUGGUUGCAAGAAGCGAGGUAAUGAUGAAGAGGGAUAGUUGGGGGUGCUAGUGUUGAGCGGCCAGAGGUGAAAUUCUUGGAUUCGCUCAAGACUAACUUAUGCGAAAGCAUUCACCAAGGAUGUCUUCAUUA
rnacentral:rRNA from 1 species